CUUUCAUACAAAAUGUUCUGUUUUAUUAGAUUGUCAGAUGAAAUCCAAAGUCAGAUUCUGUACAGGGCUAUGCAGAACUGUCUUUUUUUUUUUUGAUCAUGCCUUCACACCUAAUUGGUUGAGGUAGGAUGAUAUAUGAGUUGAGAAUAGUCAUGUUCUGUAAGAUAGAUAUGUCUACUGGCGUAGAAUGGUAUUGGAGUGAAGCCCAGCCGACACAAUAGAUCAGCAACAACAAAAAAAAAAGAAGAGACUAAGAAAACGCCAAAUGAGGCUACAAAGACAUUUUGAGACAAAAAGACAAAAGUGAAAGAACACAGCUUCUAAUUCAAGAAGAAUGUGACAUCAUCUGCAAGGAAAGCAUGCUUCCAUACUGGGCCUGGCAUAUAAAGUACGUUCUCAAAAACAUUAAACAUUAUUGCUAUAGCCUCAACAGCACAACAUGUGACUCCAACAACGAAGCUUAACAUUAUCACGGGAGAUUUCCACAGAAGUGUGGAAUUAAUCUAGAUAGAAGGGGAGUUCCCCCCCCUUCCUUUAUGGCUUAUCAACUUAGUUUAUAUUCAAAUGUGUCUAAGCAUUUAUUUCCACCUAGAUUCAAAAUAGUAGUGGUGCAAAUAAUGGUGAAUUAAAACUUAC
ensembl:lncRNA